GUUUUUUGGGUCGUCGUCAUCUUCUCUCUUGCCCCCUUGUCAUUACCCAGCUCUGGGAGGCGCGCGCUUGGACUCGCCCGUUUUCCUUCCUGGGGGCCGUUUCGUUCCUUUUGUUUCCUAAACAUCCUCACCUCCCCGGCACCAUCCCCCCCCCCAAGUAUUUGCACAAUAUUUGUGCGGGGCGUGGGGGGCGGGUUUUUUAGAAAGCGUUUCCGCUCUCGGACAAGCACAGGGGUCCGCUGCUGCCUGGGCCCGGGGUGCCGGUGGGCCGGCCGCUCCCUCGGCCGGGGCGCAGCCAUGGCGCGGAUGAACCGGCCGGCGCCCGUGGAGGUGGAGUACAAGAACAUGCGCUUCCUCAUCACGCACAACCCCACCAACGCCACCCUCAGCACCUUCAUUGAGGAUCUGAAGAAAUACGGGGCCACCACGGUGGUGCGUGUCUGCGAGGUGACCUACGACAAGGCCCCGCUGGAGAAGGACGGCAUCACUGUCGUGGUGAGGCUGCGGCCGUGGUGGCCUCGCUGCUGCCACAGGGGUGGGCGGCUGGGGGCCCUCGCUGCGAGGCAGGCACGUGGCCUCGCUACGUGCCACCUGCCACCCUCUCUGUGUUUGGGCACAGGCCCCAUCUUGAGUGUCUGGGCUUUCCCAGGGGCCUCAUCUCUGUCUCACUGCCUGGCAUCUGGGGCCCCGUUGCCAGGCAGCAGGUGCCUCCGGGAGGGUGCCACCUGGCAGGGCCCUGGAGAGGCUCUGCCCAGGCCAUGGGGAGGGACCCUUGGGGCUGUUUCCUUGGUCCCCGGUUGUGGGGACUGGCAUGCAGGUGGCAGGUGGGACAGCUCUGCUGCCACAUGUCUUGGAUGGGCCACAGCAGCCAGAGCCCGGGCGCCAGCCCUGUGGGAUGGACUCCGGCAGGCGACAGUCGUGAAGGUGGUGGAAGGGGCCAGAGCCUCGGGGUCAGACAGGCCUGCCUGAAUCCUGCCUCUGCCCCUUGCCCGUGGUGUGGCCCCAGGCACCUCCCCUGCAGAGCCUGAGCGCCUGAGAGGCGCCCCAGUGAACUCAUGUGAAGCAGGCGCGCAGGGAGCCGGGGCCUUUCCCGCCCCUCCCACCGCAGCAGGAAGGGGUCGGCUGGACAUACAGCCACCAGGCAGACCAGGCUCCUCCAGGGGUUGCGAAUCCGGAGGCUGGGGGCGGGUUUAGCCGACCCGGGGCCUGACCCUGGUGGCCCCCGCGGAUUCCCCUGGCGCCGAGGGCGCCUCUUCCAGGCAGCCCCUCUGGCCUGCCUGCAUCUGCCUCAUGGCACUGAAGUAGCUCGUCCUCCUGGGGCCCGGCGGGCUCUGAGCAGCUGAGCUUGGGGCUGGGGACACAGGCCACGUUCAACUGCGUUCAUGGACCAGACCCCUUGGGCCUGCUGACCCAGAACCUCUCAGGCUGGCUGAGGGUCAGCCUUUGACCCCAGAGGCACUGCGGCCUGACGGGAGGGCCUGGGGGCUCCCGGGCUCGCAGAAGAGCAGAGCCGGGUGUUCUGGGAAGGCUUCCUGGAGGCGAGAAUGAGGAGGAGCCUGGCAGUGGGAGCUCUCCGGGGCCUGGGCUCCUGACAUCCUCCAAGCUUCUCCGAGUGCUGGUGGGCGGGCCGGCCUGGGCCCCGCUCCUCGCCCCGCCUUUGGGCUGGGGGUCCUCACAGGCGGCCCCCUUCUGCAGGACUGGCCGUUUGACGAUGGGGCGCCCCCGCCAGGGAAGGUGGUGGAGGACUGGCUGAGCCUGCUGAAGACCAAGUUCUGUGACGACCCGGGCAGCUGCGUGGCCGUGCACUGCGUGGCCGGCCUGGGACGGGCUCCGGUCCUCGUGGCGCUGGCCCUCAUCGAGAGCGGGAUGAAGUACGAGGACGCCAUCCAGUUCAUCCGACAGAAGCGGCGUGGAGCCAUUAACAGCAAACAGCUCACCUACCUGGAAAAGUACCGGCCUAAGCAGAGACUGCGGUUCAAGGACCCGCACGCACACAAGACCAAGUGCUGCGUCAUGUAGCUCAGGACCUCAGCGCCUGGCCGCCGGGUCCGAGGGCUCCCUGGCCGCGGUGCCUCCGGCUCGCCUUCUCUGCCGACACCUCAGCACGCCCGCCACCAGUGGUCCAGCUUCCGCCCCGCCGGCUCCUUCGUCUGACCCCUGCGUCCCUGUCCUCGCGUCUUGGUGCGUGUGCGUGCGUGUGCGUGUGCGUGUGUGUGUGUGUCUGCCACCGUCUGGUCCGUCCUUCCCUUUGUUUCCAUGCCCUACACCUGUCUCUCCCUCUGUGCCCUGUGUCUGUCCCUGGGCCCUGUGUGUGACUCUCUGUCCCUGUGCCUUGUGUCUCUCUCUGGGUCCUGUGACUCUGUCCCUCUGAGGCUUUAUUGCCCCUCAGUCCCCCCACUCCCUGUGUCCUUGGCUCUCCUGCCCAUGAAUGACCCCCGCCCCCUGGCAGCUCUCUUCUCUGGCCUGUUUGUUUGGGGGCAGACGGUGUAUUUUUUAACCACUGGGCCCGGCCCCUCCUCUGCAGCCCCUCACCCUGACCUGUUCUUGGCACCUUAAGUUAUUGGGUCUGGGGCGGUCAGGUGUUCCGGACACUCGAAGGCAAUAAAACCGGACCCUGAG